rnacentral:lncRNA from 1 species
ACGCCUAGUCUUCACCGAGGCUCGACUCGUCGCCUGAACCGUCGGAGCCCUCAAAACCUUCGGAACCCUUGGAGCCUUCGGGACCCUCAAGCUCGUAGAGCUCCUUUGUCUCGGCCUCAAGCCUCCUAGCUUAUUCAAUCUCGGUCGAUAGGUCAAAACCUCAGACAUGGAUCUCUUCUAUGGUCUCUCUUCGGGAUAGCCGCUUUACGUACUCAGUCUUCAUCUUUAAGUGGGUCUCGGCUACCUCCACAUCAACCUUAUACUGGGCCACCAUUUCCUCGGCAUCAGUAGAGGUUUCAUCCAAUUUAUACCUCAGUGCGGCAUAUUCUUAUCUGAGAGCAUCUAGUUUUGUGACGGCUGAGCUCAGUUUUGCCCCGAGUUCAUCAUUUAGCAGAGACCAUUUAUCGGUUGUGCCAUUCUCCACCCAGAGCUGGUUCUCGACCAAUGCCAGCUCCGCUUUCGCAGCUUCCUUCUCCAAAGCCUACAGGUCCAUCAUGCCCUUCCACACUUUGGUCAUGGCUUUAACCUCAUCCAUCUCAGCCCAAAAGUGGUCGAUCAUAUUUAUCUUUUCUUGGACUUGCGAAUUUGUGUUGUUAGUCACCACGACUAGCUGUUCAUUUUUAGCCUCUAAGAUCUUUACCUUCUCAACCAGGUCGGGUUGUUCCUGCUUCAAGGUCGAGGCGUCUUUUUGAGCCUUUACAGCUCGGCAUGGAGAAUCAGGAGGUCUUUGAGACCCUCGUCCUGCUUCUCACUAAGAUCCCUAUACAUGUCCUUCUUCCGGACAUGCUCUUUGAGCUCGAACUCGAUCCAGCUAAUCUUGAAGCGAUACUAGAGGAAGCUUUCAUGGUGAAGCACUAAAGCCUGGAAAACAAUGAAGUUAGUAGAGGACAUCAAAAACCAAAAUGAGAUUCACAAAGGGGUACAAAGGGCUGACGCAUUACCUGGUUCAGCGCCUGCUGUACCACGUUGAAGAGGCUCGCGUGCCCACCUCGUUCAUCUUUGCAUGCUCCUACUCAGUUAUUAAUGCUCGAACUCAUCCCCCUUCACCCCCCGCUCUCGAUGGGAUAUCCUUCUUCGGGACCUCCAUGUGACCAUGCCUGGAAACUUUCUCUAGUGCGACUACAUCCAUGCCAUCGAAGAACAUGUUGAGGGCGUCGUUUGGGCUCUACGCCACCCCGCUUGACUUCUCUUUGCCCUCUUGGGCCUCUUUGAGUAUGGACUCGAUAUAGGAGGGUGUCUCCAUGAUGUCAAUGACACCGGAUGCCUCCUUCGAGAUAGGAGCGGCUUCCUGGGGGGCCACAACCUCCGUCUCUCCCUCUAGUUCCUGAGUAAGAGGGGGAUCGACCUCAUGGUCCUCUAUCUCGGUCGUUUCCUGCUCCCCCUCGUUAAGGAUCGACCCAUGUGCAAUAAAAAGGUCAUAAUCCUCGGGCUCAUCCUUGAGCCGGUAGAGAUAAUCGGGCUCUAGUACCUUAGACUUGGUGAUCACUUUCUUCUUCUUCGCCUCGGCGUCCGGAGAACCUGGACUUUAUUUUCUUCUUCUUCUUCUUCUUCUUCUUCUUCUUCUUCUUCUUCUUCUUCUUCUUCUUCUUCUUCNNNNNNNNNNNNNNNNNNNNNNNNNNNNNNNNNNNNNNNNNNNNNNNNNNNNNNNNNNNNNNNNNNNNNNNNNNNNNNNNNNNNNNNNNNNNNNNNNNNNNNNNNNNNNNNNNNNNNNNNNNNNNNNNNNNNNNNNNNNNNNNNNNNNNNNNNNNNNNNNNNNNNNNNNNNNNNNNNNNNNNNNNNNNNNNNNNNNNNNNNNNNNNNNNNNNNNNNNNNNNNNNNNNNNNNNNNNNNNNNNNNNNNNNNNNNNNNNNNNNNNNNNNNNNNNNNNNNNNNNNNNNNNNNNNNNNNNNNNNNNNNNNNNNNNNNNNNNNNNNNNNNNNNNNNNNNNNNNNNNNNNNNNNNNNNNNNNNNNNNNNNNNNNNNNNNNNNNNNNNNNNNNNNNNNNNNNNNNNNNNNNNNNNNNNNNNNNNNNNNNNNNNNNNNNNNNNNNNNNNNNNNNNNNNNNNNNNNNNNNNNNNNNNNNNNNNNNNNNNNNNNNNNNNNNNNNNNNNNNNNNNNNNNNNNNNNNNNNNNNNNNNNNNNNNNNNNNNNNNNNNNNNNNNNNNNNNNNNNNNNNNNNNNNNNNNNNNNNNNNNNNNNNNNNNNNNNNNNNNNNNNNNNNNNNNNNNNNNNNNNNNNNNNNNNNNNNNNNNNNNNNNNNNNNNNNNNNNNNNNNNNNNNNNNNNNNNNNNNNNNNNNNNNNNNNNNNNNNNNNNNNNNNNNNNNNNNNNNNNNNNNNNNNNNNNNNNNNNNNNNNNNNNNNNNNNNNNNNNNNNNNNNNNNNNNNNNNNNNNNNNNNNNNNNNNNNNNNNNNNNNNNNNNNNNNNNNNNNNNNNNNNNNNNNNNNNNNNNNNNNNNNNNNNNNNNNNNNNNNNNNNNNNNNNNNNNNNNNNNNNNNNNNNNNNNNNNNNNNNNNNNNNNNNNNNNNNNNNNNNNNNNNNNNNNNNNNNNNNNNNNCUUCUUCUUCUUCUUCUCAUCCUCCUCCUCCUCCUCCUCCUCCUCCUUCUCCUCCUUCGCGGCAGCCCCGAUCUACCCCGAAAUAGAGGGUCCGGCAAGCAAGGACGGAUCCUCAUCCUCGUCCAAUGGCCUUAGUAGACAAACCUAUAAGAAAAGAGAAAAGGUUAGCACUGUGUAAGUUAAGAGCAAGAUGGUAAUUAUUUAGGAAAAAACCUCACCAUGAGAACGGUCCUCCCAUUUGCCCUUCAAAAGCGCUCGGAGUAUGGAAUCUGCUUGCAGAUCCCCUCGAUCCAAUCCUUGAAUCGGGGAAUUGCAUUAGGAUCUUGGGAGACAGUUGCACAACAACAAACACAAGCAAUGAGAGAAGGAAUAAAAUGAUGUGAAUACUCAUGGAAGAUAAUAAUUACGAGAUGCAUUUCAUCUCUCGGGGAAGGGCAAAAACUCGGGAGGGAUCAGGUCUUCAGUUUUCACCGGAACGAAUCUACCAUGCUAGACUCGAUCUCAGUCCUCGUUGAUGCUUGCGAAAGGAGCCUUCCUUGCUCGGAGAACGAGCUUGAUCAGCCCCCCUUGAAUAAUUUGGGACUGUAUAUGCGGAGUAAAUGGUCAAGGGUAAACCCUAGGGCUUCGGUAUUGUUCACGAAAUAGCGUAAGAGGAUCACGAUCCCUUAAAAAGAUGGGUGUAUUUGCCCAAGGCAUACCUCGUACCUUUUGCAGAAAGCAAGAACUAUGGGUUCUUCCAGGGUGAGCGUGAAGGGGUAAAUGUAAACACUUAAAUACCCUUCACAUGAGUAGUGAUGUCGUUAUUGGGCCUAGGGGUGACCACAUCCUUACCCUCCCAAUUACAAUGUGCUCGGACUAUAGAUAAGGUUUCUUUAGUGACAGAGCAUAUAUAUCUCCAUGCUCCCUCGCCUCGGUCCUGUUGACUAGAGGCCUUCUCGGCGUGGAAGUCAUUCCUGAUAGCAGCCCCCAGGAAUGAAGCUCUUCAUAGGGGGCUCCUAAGCCACUUCGGGAACGACCACCUUGGCAUCUGUGGUUGGGUGGGAAUAUAAAGGAACGGCUUGCUGAGGCACUGACUUGGAGGUUUUUGCCAUUGUAAUAUCGGAAAUAUGAAGGUUUGAAGAAGGAUAUGAAGGUUUGAAGAAAAAUAUGAAGAUUUGAAGAUGGUAUGAAGGUUUGGGUUGAAGGUUCAAAGAAUUUAUAUGAGGAUUGAGGAUGAAGAUAUGAAAGUUCAAAGGGAAAUGUAUGAAGAUUUGGGGAAGUUAAAUAUCGUUUGUGAGUUUGAGGGUAAAAUCUAGAAUCGGAAAGUGAAAGAACUGAAAAAGGUCGAAGCUUUUAUAGGGGAAAAAUAAUCAAUGCGCAACGUUUCGCAUUCGAAGGCAGCCAUUCCGUGACUAACACGUGUCCGAAGUCAAAUGAUACGACUGAUGGGACGUUUUGAUUUACUUUUCACCUCAAUUUUAACGUACGAAGGAAGGAACCUGGGUUCAUCUGUCAUUUCCCAUCAUUUCGGCAAACCUAUUAUCUGAAAAACGAAGGGACUAUCUGUAUACGGGUAAAAUUAGAGAUAAUACAUACCACGAUUUCCCGGUGAAGAAAAUGGAAGAAGGGCACGGAUGCACGAGAUUGAAAUCGAGGUUGAGAGCCCUUCAUAUCGAGAUCCAUGAAAGGUGAACGAUGUGCUCAUCAUCGAACCUGAUGAAGCGACACGUUCCAGACCCAGGAUGACUUUUAGACCUCGGAAAAUACGAUAAAAAGUUACACUCGACGGAUAGAGGGCAGUGAUAUUCGCACCCAACCAAAUAUCACGGCGCAGAUCUCGCUUGAUAUAUGUUACGGAUCAGUAAUUAACGAGAAAGGGAGAUUUUUACCCUUUUUAGACUUAUAUUAGGGAUGCAACUCUCCUACUAUAUAAAGAGAAGGUUUUUCUUUUGUAAGAAACAUUGUAACAGGCGAAUCAAAGCAAUACAAAUUCAUUUUCUGCCUUUUAAUUACUGUUAAAGUUGUUGUUCACUUAACCUGCUUUUCAUUCAUGACUGAGCUCGAAUCGAGGAUCUGAUCGAGGACGAGGUCAUUGUUUCAUCUAAGUUCAGGCUUGGCCAUAAUGUCACAAUUGGUUUGAUCGUUUAAUUCGUCUUUAAUUUAUUUAUCUAAUAUACUUAAUUAUUUGUAUUGAAUCAAACCACAUAUCCUUAAAACCGCUUACAAAUUUAAUUGUUAUCCGAUUUAAGGGUAAACAGAGGUCAAGGUAAUUUUUUGUUAUUUAUUAGAGAGACGAUAUCUUUUUAGGUCAAGGUAAGUUUUUGUUAUUUUGUAGAGAGACGAUAUACAAUAUUAGUAUUAAACUGAAUUAGUAUCAGUGCAUGCAUAUAUAUGCUUCGUAGAGCGUCUAAACUGCUAAGUUGAACCACAAUAUUACAAGAGUUGGAAGAAAAUGUCAGUUGGUGGAUCGUACCCAAUGAUGUCAUAAUUUUUUAUUUAAAAACAAUUCAACUUUAAAGUUUUUACUUUAUUUUUAGAUGAUUUAUAGGCACAUAAAUAUCUCUAACUUAUUUUAGACCACAAGUUAUUUUUCUAUCUUACUUAAAUUUGUGUCGAGUCAAAUAUUGUCACAUAAAUUGGUAAAUUGGGUUGGAGAGCGUAGUACUUUAGUAUAACAUCUUCUUUUAAGUUCCUCCUUUGCAAGUAAAUCAGAGCGAAGUUUUUUGAACUAAUUUCGAGUUGAUUAGAUCUCUUCAUCCUCAAUUUUGUCAAGCAUCUCCAUUUUCUCACUGAUUAGUGUUAAGUGUAUUCAUAAAAGACAUAAAUCUAUCAUUCCUUAGUGUAAAUAUAUCAUGCUGACAAAAAAAAUCACUUCUCUCGAUUCCUUUUUUUUUUUUGUUGUAGAUCACUCAAUGUAAUACUAGCAUUUAAAAAAAAAAAGGAUAUGGUUUGGGAUUCAAUCGAACGACUAGAAUCAAGACUCGCCGACACGUUCUAUUAAAUGGACCCAACCCAAUGAUGACGAAAGGUCCAAUCAAGUAAUAAAUCAAAGGACCAUUUGACUCAGCUGAUUUAAUUUCUCUCUGAAGAUAAUAAAGAAGUGUAUUACAUGAGGGAUUCUUGUGAUUCACAUUUCACAUCAGAAGCCCACUCCCACUAAUUGUCGACACUCAACGCUCCCUGUGUAAAUAUCAAUCAACUUGUGUUGUUGCGGAUUUCACAAUGGAUAUUCUUCCAUUUGUUUAUCAUAAAUAUUGUGGUUAAUUGAAUCAUAAUGAUAAUAAUAUUCACAACAAAUAUAUUUUCUCCUUUUCUUUUGGAAUAAUAAGAUGCAGUUUUUGACCACUAUGGUGUGUUUGGUAGGAAGGAAAAUAUUUAUGAUCUCAUUUUUCUCCAAUUAAAAGAAAAUAUUUUUCAAAAUUCUUUCUCAAUCUUUUUCAUCCUAUUUCUCAUCCUCAUCAACCCACCCCCACACCCACCCACCCAACCGCCCUACUCACCCCACCCUAAAUAAAAAUAUUUUUAAUACUAUUUUCUUUUCAUUUUAUAGAUAGAUUUUUUUUUUGUAUUUCAAUAAAUGAGUAUUUUUUACAUGAUAUAAAAAAGUAUUUUUUUCAUUUCAACAAAAAAAAUACUUUCUUUUCAUAGAAAAAAUAUUUUCUUUCGUUUCAACAAUAAAAAAAUAUUUUCUUUUUAUGAUUUAAAUCUUUUUNNNNNNNNNNUACCAAACACACCCUAUAUCUUCCGUAUUACAUACACUAAAAUAGUACACGUAACAUUCCAUUCGUCUUGGUAACUUAUCUUUUACCUAGUAUUUGGUUUGCUUUUUUGUAUAUAGUCUUACUUUGUCUUGUUCAUGUCGGACUAUUUCAUCAAUUUCAUUUUAAGUGUUAAUAUUGAGAAAAAAUCCAAUAUAAUAUAUUAUUAUAUUAUAUUAUAUUUGAACUGCUUUCCUACUCAAAUAAUUUAUUUUAUUGUUAAUUUUAAUAUAGAAAAAUAUACCUAAUUAUUAAAGAACAACUAAGAAAAAUUUUAAGAAUAUAAAUGUGUGAGAAAAAAUAGGAAAAAAUGUUAGUAAAAGCCAAUAUCACUAAUGAUUUUGCAAACAUAAAGAUCUAAAGGUGGAAUGUCAUCGAUGUUUUUACUCUUUGAAAAUAAAACCACUUGGUGGAUAAAAUUAUAAUCACGGUUAAAUAUUCAAACAUGAGAUGAACUAAUAUUAAGAAUCUAAAUCAACAGAAAAUGAAUUAUAUUUCAUGUUAAAACCAAAUAAUUAAAUCUUUCAAUUAUUUAUUUAGCAAGAGAAUACAAUUAAAUUAUUUUUUAAAUUCAUCAUAUGAGAGAAAUUAUUUUUCAAGUUGAAAAAAAUAUAAUAUUAAGAAGAUCAUACAAGUAUUUGAGGAAGCACAAUCUAAGCUAAAUCCUGAACAAGAAUAAGUUUUCAAGAUUAUAUUAUAAAAACUGACUCGGGUAUAGCGGGAUUAUCUUUUGUAGAUGCCUCCGACGGAAUCAAAAUAAUAUUUCUAUGUCAUGUAUUAUUUGCAAAUAUCAAAUCAAGAGGCAUGAUAUUAUUAGCAGUAAGAACAAGUGGUUUACCAACAACAAUUUUAUUAUGAGGUCGUACAACUCACUUUAGAUUUGAUAUACCUCUUGAAAUAACUGAAAUAACCAUCACAAAUAUGUCAAAUCAGAUCAAUAGUGCUAAAUUUAUAAGGAAAACAAAAGUUAUGGGAUGAAGCGAAUUUGGCUAAGCGUCAAACGAUCAAAAUAAUUACCCAUUGUUUUAGAGAUAUAUUGGAUAUCGAGAACCAUUUGGUAAAAACGUAAUAGUUUGGGAGGUGAUUUCUGUCAGAUACGAUCAGUAGUUCCAAAAUUGACCAAAGCAGAAACUGUAAAGCUAGCUUUCCAAAAUUAUACUUAUGACCUCAAAUAAAAAAUAUUCAAAUGACAAGAAAUAUAAAAUUAAUAACAAAUCCAACAUUCAAUGACUUCUUGCUUCCUGUCGGAAACGAAGAAGAGCAUCAAAUAAAAGAUGAUUUGGUUCUUCUAGAACACUUGGUUAUUGUAAUGAUCCGGCUGGUCGUUUUGAGUAUCUGCACUUCGCUCGGUAUUUUGAGGUCUCGAGUAUCUUCGCAUGAUGUAUUAUGACUUGUGUAAGUCGUCGGUAUUGGUUUUCAAGUUAUCCGAAAUCGAUUUGGAAGAAUGAACUUAAAGAUUUAAGCUCUAAGUUGGAAGAGUUGACCAAGUUUGAUUUUUUAGCAUUUAACCUCGGAAUACAAUUCCGUCAAUUCCGAUAGCUCCGUUGGGUAAUUUUGGACUUAGGAGCGCGUCCGAACUGUAAAUUGGAGGUCCGUAAUUGAAUAAGUCUUGAAAUGGCGAAAGUUGGAUUUUUGGAAAGUUUGACGGGGAGUGGACUUUUUGAUAUCGUGGUCGGAUUUCGAUUUCGUCAGUUCGAAUAGGUCUGUAAUGACAAAUGUGACUUGUAUGAAAAAAUUGGGAUCAAUUGCACGUGAUUUAAUAGGUUUCAGCAUCGGUUGUAGAAGUUGAAGUUUCAAAGUUCAUUGACUUGGACUUGAGAUACGAUUUGUCGUUUUGAGGUUGUUAUGCGUGAUUUGAAGCUUCGAGUAGGUUCGUUUUGUCAUAUAGAACUUGUCCGCAAAAUUUAGAUCCAUUUGGAAUUGAUUUGAUAUGGUUCGGACACUUGGUUGUGAUUCUAGAAGUUCUUAAAGUUUAGUUUGAUCCUCAUGCAUUUAGGCGUCCGAUUCGUGGUUUUAGAGGUUAUUUUGAUGAUUUGAUCGCACGAGCGAGUUCGUGUUGUGUUUCUGGACUUUGGUUCAUGGUUAGUUUGGAUCCUCAAGGGCUCGGGUGAGUUUCGGAAUGAUUUUUCAUAAACUUUGAUUUUUGGUAAUGGUAUCAUCACAGUUGCGAUGUUUUUGUCGCAAAUGCGACAACCGCAAUUGCAAAGCAGCCAUCGCAUUUACAAGGUCUGGGCUGCUGGGAAAAUUUGCAUUUGCCAAGAACCCUGCCGCAUUUGCGAAAUGUUGGUCUUCGUAUUUGCGAAGUAUUGGGUCGCAAAUGCGACCUUGACAGGAAAACUUCUUGAGAGUCGAAUAGGACUCGGAUUUGAAAACAAAAUAUAUAUUUGAACUCGUGAGGCUAUGGGUAGUCAAGACCUACCAUUGGACCCGGAUUUUUACCUGGCGGGCCAGGGGUUUGACUUUUUAGAAAUCUAAUAAAAAUCACAGUUUUAUUAAUUAAAAUUACUUUCUCUUUCAUUGUGUGAUGUAUUCAAGUCAUCGUUGGAUAGAUUGAGCCGAGCGGAGGCGAAUUUGUAAAGGAAAAGGCUAAAUUUAGUAUUGAGUUAGCCGAAUUGAGGUAAGUGUCUUGCCUAACUUUGUUGAGGGAAUUUUUCCUCCUAUUUGACAAUGUUUUCUACAUGCGGGGGUGAUACAUAUAUGAGGUGACGAGCGUAUAUAUAUGUGCCAGGGUUAAUCAUGCUUGGGGGUAGAUUAUGUAUAAUUAUGUCUUGUACAAUUACGUGACCUUCUUGCUCCAUGCCUUACUUGACUCUUAGAUACUAAGAACAUAGUAUUAAAUGUUGAAAAUCAAGAUUUAAAUUAUUAUAACUUGAUCAAAUUUGAUGGAAUUCUAAGAAUACAUUUAUGUGUCUAAUUCGGUUAUUCCUAUGCGUAGUCAUUAAUACAUUGCUACAGCCGAUCUUCUAGAGAUACUAGAUUCUAUACUUGUGUUGUUGAUCAUUUGGAGAUUUGUGGAAGUACUUGAAUAAUACGGUUCUUGAGGGUUUAUUGAAUCAUCGUUGGCUUGGAAAGUUGUGAUUGGGAUUUGUUUGGAAUAUUCGUUUAAACACUCUCCUUGAUGUUAUUUAUUCCCCAUGUGUUGUUUGUCAUUGAUAUACACAUGUUUGGUAAGGAAGAGUGUAAAGUACGAAGGGUGAUGCCGUGCCAUAGUUAUACAUUAUCAUGUGAGGGAGAGUGUAAAGCACGAAGGGUGAUGUCGUGCCAUAUUAUUUGAGAGUAAAAGCACGAAGGGUGAUGCCGUGCCAUAUUAUUUGAGAGUAAAAGCACGAAGGGUGAUGCCGUGCCAUAUUAUUGGGAGUAAAAGCACGAAGGGUGAUGCCGUGCCACAUCAUUUGAGAGUAAAAGUAGGAAGGGUGAUGUUGUGCCAUUUCAUUUAUAUUGUUAUGCUUUUAUGUUAUCGUGAGAUCAUGGCACGAUGGGUGUUUUCGUGCAGGUGAGGAUGAGGGACAUGCAUCAUGUUGUGAUAUCUGUUUUUCCGUGUAUAUGUUCACGUCUUUAUCUUGAACGGUUAUUGUCGUAUUUAUAGACCUCGUGUGACUUGUUAUUAUUGUCCUGUCCUUGCUCUCUAUUUCAAUCGUUGUUGUGUUGUACAUAUCUUGUACUUGUUUUAUUUGCAAAACACAUGCCUAUUUCCUGUUGUUAUAAUUACCUCCAUGUCGUGUCUAUUCUGUUGCAUUUUAGUACAAGCCCUUUUUCUAUGUUAGUUAUUCAUGCCUCUGCUUGUUAACUUGUAAAGAUCAUGUGAUUCCUUCUUAUUUGUUAUAUCUGUACUUAGGCCUCCAUCAUGCUAGUUAAUUGAAGUUGAUAUUCCUUAUUUUUCAAUUGUUGUCAUUACUCACAUGCUUUCCGCCUAGUCUUUUAUUGUUGCCCACAUGUAUAUCCUCGUUCAUUAUUGCUACUUGCGUAUUUCCUACUUUGUAAUUCCUAUUUUCGAUAUUUAUGUCAUCUAGUUGGUUCUAUUAUAAGUAUAUGAGGAUGAGAUAAAAGCACGAAGGGUGUUGCCAUGUAAUUAACUUGAUAUCUGAGUACAUUCCUCAUGCUAUGAAAGUUAUGAAGUGACUGUAGUGGUUUAUCAGUUUCAUUCUAAGGAAAGCGAUGGUCAAGGUAUUGUAAGAUGCUAAAUUGUGAUCACUGCUAGUAUUCGAUUAUUAUUUGCGUAUUCGUUUCAUGUAAUCUUUUCUGUUAUAGCGUGGUAUAACUCUAUUGUUGAUUUAUACUACAGGUUUUUAUCAGUGAGUAUCUUUUAACUAAAAAGCCUCGUCACUACUUCCACGAGGUUAGACGAGAUACUUACCAGUAUAUGGGGUCGGUUGUACUGAUACAACACUUCUGCACAUUGCGUGCAGAUUUUGGAGUGGAGCUGCAAGUGAUAUCGGGUGCUGACUUUGAAGAUGUUCAUGCAUUCUGGAUAUAGUUUCCACUUGUCCUUGGUAGCUUAGGUUGUGCUAAUCUCUUAAGUAAAUUUCAAACACAUCGUGUAAUUAUUUGUACUAGCUUUAUAAAUUCCAAGUCUUAGAAGGUCAUGGUUCGUACUACUAGUUCUUGGGUAAAUUUGUAAAUGUUCAGAUAAUUCUUCUCUAUUCUUACUAUAAUCUCAUUCAGAUUGUAUUUUCUGUUAGUGGCUUACCUAGCGGAUCGAGUUAGGUGCCAUAACGACUUGUGAUUUUUGGGUCGUGACAGUUAUCAACCCCAAUGGUAAUAGUAGUGCAUUUAAUAAAGAAAAUAUUUUCAUCAUUAGAUUAAAAUGCAAUUUGUGUAAAUUAUAUGAUAGAAAUUAAAGAGCUAUCUUAGCUAGCAAAAAUGAAUAUACUGAUCAACUAAAUAAAAGGUUGAUUGCUAUGUUUUAUGGUAAUGUUACACCCAAUGUUUCGUACGUAAAAGUAUGCCAUAAGUAAAUUAAUGGGAGCUCGGAAAUGAGAUGUUACAUCUCGCAUUUUCGUGUGUUAAAGUUUUUUCGUAAGUUAAUCGAUGUAAGUUUGGGAAUGAUAUUAUUUUGAGAUUAUAAAUAUUAUGCUAUUUCAAACAAGCGACAAGUAAAUUCGUGAAUGUGAAAGGGUAAGCUGUAGCGAUCCGGCAGGUCAUUUUGAGAAUUAAUGCCCCGAUCAUCUAUUCACUGCUUUCCCCGUAUCUAUUUCUAUUAUUGUGAAUUGCCGGGAUGGUUCAUCUUGAGUUUCGGAGUGUUUUGGGACACUUAGACCCUAAAUAAGAGCGUAAGUCUUAGAAUUUGGACCGUAGUCGGGGAAGUAUGAAGAUGUCUCCGGAAUAGAAUUACGUUGAUUCCGCUAGCUCCGUUGGGUGAUUUCGGUCUUAGAGGCAUGUUUGGAUUGCGUUUUGGAGGUCUGUAGCUCAUUUAGGCUUGAAAUGGCGAAAGUUGAUUUUUUGGAGUUUCGGCCCAACAGUGGAAAUUUUGACAUCAGGGUCAAAAUCCGAUUCUAAAAGUUGGAAUAGGUCCAUAGUAUUGAAUAUGACUUGUGUGCAAAAUUUGGGUUCAAUCGUACGUGUUUUGCUUGGUUUCGGUAUCAGAUGUAGAAUUUUGGAAAUUCAAGUUUUUAAGUUUGGAUUAGAGGGUGAUUCGUAGUUUUAGAGUUGUUUGAUGUGAUUUGAGUGAUCAACUAAGUUCAAAUGAUGUUUUAGGAUUGAUUGGUAUGUUUGGUUGAGGUUCCAGGGGCCUCGGGUGAGUUUCGGAUGCUCAACGGGUCAUUUUUGGACUUAAAGAAGUGGCAGAUUUUCUGGUGUUUUGUUGCAGUGAAAUCCUUCAUCGCGUUCGCGAGAGGAGUCUCGUGUUCGCGUAGAGCAUCUGGGAGAAGCAGCUAAGUGGUACUUUGCAUUCGCGAAGGUGUGGACCCUUUAGCCUACGCGUUCGCGACAUGGUCCUCGCGUUCGCGAAGGGUCUGCCAGUGUAAGCUAUGCGUUUGCGAAAGGACCCUCGCGUUCGCGAAAGAGGAAUUUGGGCCAGUGGGAUUUUUCUCAACGCGUUCGCGAAGAAGGACGCAUCUGGGCAGAAUUUAAAAAUCCAAAAUCGAGGGUUUGAGUUCAUAAUUUUAAAAAUUAAUAGAGAGCUCGGUAGAAGGCAAAAUUUGGAGAGAUUUUCGGAGGAAGUUUGUGGGUAAUGAUUCCUAACUACUUUUUUAUUAUAUCCCAUUAAUCUAAGCUCAAUUUCAUCAUUUAAUUUCGAAUUUGGGGUGAAAAUUUAGGGAAAAUUUUAGAAAAUCUUUAGGCCGAAUUUUGGGAUUUUGAUCGAUAUUUUGGUAUCGGAUUUGGGUGAAUUUGGUAUGGUUAGACUCGUGAGUGAAUGAGUGUUCAUAAUUUGUGAUUUUUACCUGAUUCCUAGAUUUUGGUCCGGGGAGGAUUUUUUGGCAUUUUCCUAUUUUCUUACCUUAGCUUUGAAUUAAUUAGUUAAACUAGUUGCUUGUAGUUUUAUUUACGUUAUGUAAUUAAUUUGAUUAGAUUUGGGCUACUUUGAGUUGGAUACUCGUGGCAAGAGCGUGAUAUCAGAUUGAUUUUGAGCUGGUUCGAGGUAAGUGGCUUGCUUAACCUUGUGUGGGGGGAAUUUCCCUUAGGAUUUUGGUACUGUUAUUAUAUGAAUGCCGUGUACGUGAGGUGAUGAGUGCGUACAUGUGCUAAUUGUUAAAAAACUCCGUUUUCUUUAAGUAAAUAUCUAUGUUUUUCCUUUAAUUGAACAAUACUAGUGUGUGAAGCCUCAUGUUUAGCUCAGGAAAGCAUGCUUAUGUGACUUAAUUGUCUUAUUUGCGUUAACUGCUUAUUUGGAUUCUGUGUAGCAUGUCUAGAGUAGGAAUUUCCUAUUUCUUGAUACGAACUUGAAUAGAACUGUCAAUUUCUUGUUAAGACUAUUGUGUAUUUACUUUGGGACUACGGAUCGGUAUUUCGAGAGAUCUCCCUGCACAUUUAUAUUUGGGACUAAGGGACGGUAUCCUGGGAGAUACCCCUGUACUAGAUAUUUACUUUGGGACUACAGAUCGGUAUCCUGGGAGAUUCUCUAUACAUUUACGUUUGGGACUACCAGACGUUAUCCUGGGAGUUCCCCCUGUUGUUAUCUUUGUGUAUUGAGUUAUUUCUUUAUGUGAUAUCAUCUUUAUUGACUGUUAGUAUUUUAAUUAUACUGUCACAUUUCAUACUGUUUUACCUUGUUAUAUAUAUAACCAGUAGGGCCCUGACCUGAUCUCGUCACUACUCGACCGAGGUUAGGCUUGACACAACUGGGUACCGCUGUGGUGUACUCAUGCCCUUUCUUGCACAUGUUUUUCGUGUGUAGAUCCAUGUUCUUCUGCUCAACCAUACUAUCCGUGAGGCGAGGUGAUUCGGAGACUUCGAGGUAUAUCUACCGCGUUCGCAGGCCUGGAAGUCCCUCUCUAUUCUCCCUUCAGUUAUAGACUUCUUGUAUUUUUCUUCGUUUAGACUUCUGGAGUUAGAACACUAUGUAUUUCUUUAGCUUGUGAUUCAUGCGAUUCCGGGUUUUGGGAGUGCUAUGUUCAGUCGAGAGUGUUAUUAUUGUAUAUGCCGAGCGACAUUUUAAACUCUUUUAUUAUAGUUACUUGUUAGUUGGCUAGUUUUGUUUCUUUAAUUCAUUUUCCGCAAAUUGUUAGGCUUGACUAGUAGACUAGGUGCCAUCACGAUAGUUCACGGAGGGAGAACUUGGGUCAUGGCAUAAGCGAAUCGAAGAAAGUGAAUUUCGGCGAAGUUUGACUUUUUGAGAUAAAUACGAUCCAAGCUACAAUACCCCGUAUUUAUGGAUUAGUGUCAUACAAGGUACCACAUGACCAUGAUAGUAAGAUGUAUAAGGUAUGUUAAAAGUGAGUAGUAUUUUAAGUAAUUUGAGAUAAUUCUUAAUUAUGCAGGUAAUUAAUUAACUAUUGGGUAAUGAGAGAUUACCUAGUUAAUUAAGGAUUUAUUGGGUGAUUAAUUAAGCACAUUUGGAUAAGUAUUAAACUCCAAGAUGGCAGCAAAUUAAGCCCAAUUUUAUGACUCAUUAGUCAUUAGGAUAGGUGGCACAUUAAGGGGUCUUUGGGCAAGACUAAUCCCUAAAAAAUGAGGCCCACCUAAAAAUUUAGUAUAACUUUUCUAGUUCAAAAAUCAUUCUCCUAACCUCUUAAAAGACUUUCAGCAAAGGAGUGUAGUAACGUUAUUGACAAAAACAUUCUGCCAAGGAAUAUAGCAACAUUAUUGACAAAGAGUUUCAGCCAAGGAACGUAGCAACGUUAUUGAGAAAGAGUUUUAGCCAAGAUUAUCUUUGCAUAGCAACGCUAUUGCUUCGAGCAUUUUAUACGUAUUUCUCCUACUCCAAUUUUACCGUCACGUAUUUUGUUGCAAUUAACGUGUGUUAGUGGAAUUGUCAAGAAAAUCGACUCAGGCAUGUUAAGGAUAUCACUUCUUUCUUUUGGUGUGAUGUAUAUGACACAAACGAAACAAGAAAAAUCCACAACUUCCAUAAAUGACUCUAUUCAUAGAAUUAUUAGAGGUGCCUAUGUUCUUGAAUUUCCAUGUGUCCUAUUAUUUUAUAAUCUAUUCAUGAGCCUCAGAAAAAUACGUAAAUUGAUUUUAUGAUAUUAAUCAGAGGCAUAAUGGUCUUAUGACACUCCGAAAGAUUUUAUUGACGUACUUCUCAUGAAUUGCAUUCAUUUACAUUGACCCAUGACCAGAUGGAGUUAUAUACGCGUAUAUAUGUAUAUUAUAUGCAUAUGGGAUAUGGAAAAAGGUUACUGCAUUAUAUACGCACAACCACCUGAUCAGCUGGUAUACGUUGAUGAUUUUACCCACAGUGGCCGAGAUGAUGUGAUGAGAUGCCCUCAUAGGCUUGAUGAUGUUAUGAAUACAUGUACUAUGCAUGACAUGACAUUGAUACGCAUAUGCAUGACACUAUAAGUAUUUCAUGAUUUACAGAGUUAUCCAGACUUACGGGUUAAGUCAUUUACUCCAUGUUUCUUUCAUGUCUUUUAUGUACUUAUUUGUGUGCCUUACAUACUCGGUAUAUUAUUCGUACUGACAUCCUUUUUUCCUUGGGACGCUACGUUUCAUGCCCGUAGGUCCCAAUAGAUAGGUCGAAAGUCCUCCAAGCAGGCUAUCAGCUCAGCGGAAGAUGUUGGUGUGCUCCAUUUGCUCCGGAGUUGCUUGUUUGGUCAGUAUGAUUUAGACAUGUAUUGUUUGGUAUGACGGGGCCCUGUCCUUUACGAUAAUAUAUACUCUUAGAGGCUUGUAGAAAGAUGCCAUAUAUACGGAUGCUUGUAUGGCCUUGCCGACCUAUGUUUUGAGUUUACAAAUAAUCAUGUUGGCCUUAUAGGCCCGUAUGUUACAUGUAUAAGUUUUUAUAUCAGGUUGGGUCGUCCUAUAUUGAAUAUUUUCCUAUAUUUAUUCUGGUUAGCCCAUGACGGCCCGUUUGGCCCAUUUGCCAAUGAAAGUAUGAUAAGAAAUAUAUGUUAUGUUGGUACUCGGUUGAGUAAGGUACCGGGUGACCGUUGCGGCCCAUAAGUAUGGGUCGUGACCGGUAAAAAUAAAAUAUUUUUCAGUUUUGACUCAGUAGAAGAUGAUACCAACAAUAACUACCAAGAAGAAUACUUAAAUACUUUAAUACCAAAUGGCCUUCUUCCGUACAUGCUUUUGUCAAGUUCAUUAUUUCUUACGUAUGUUAGUGUCACCAUAUAUAUAAUAGACUAAGUUAAAAUUGAUCUUCUAUUGCAUAUAUGUUUAUGCACGUCAUGCUACUGAAAAUUUAGAUCCGCUAAAUAGCUUAUGUAAUAGUACACAUAUGGUAUAUAGAUUAUUUAACGACAACGUCAUACAUGCAGAACUUAUGAUACUGGUCAAUGUGCUUCUAAGUAUGUGUUUAUCCCCAAAUUCAACUUUUGUCUUCCGAAACUAAAGAAUAUCCUUUUAAAUUUGUGUGAAAAUAAUUUUCAUUAUGUUUAUGUUUUAUAGUUUUAAUAAAUAAAACACAAUGACAAACAUCCUAAAUGUUGAACUAUAUUUACCAUAAUAUGUUUUCUUACACGAAUAACUAUAUGUUGCACUUUCAACAGAGAUAUCAAUAUUAACAAUAAGAGUUUUGGUUGUGGAAUAGUAACCAAAGCAUUAGAAGGCAAUAUACACAAAAAUAUAGCGCAUAUAAAGAAGUGUUUGGCAAGAUACCAUCACGUUAGAUACCUUUAAACUACAAUACAUAAUUAUCUAAUUAACAUGGCUAAACUUUUCCAUUUUCAGAUAUUACUAAUAUCAUAUUAGAAUGGCAGUUGGAAGGAGAAAGACAAUAAACCAACAAAUAAAAGGCAAGCAAAGAAACUGUUCGACUGAAUAUACCUAACAAGUUUGCCGACACUCCUCAAUAUUCAACAGAUGCCAAAAUAUGGGUCCUAAUCAUAAUGCCGACCUUUUUUAUUGCUAUCCAUACUUUAAUAUAGUAUAGUUAUGAAAAAGGUUACUAUCAAGCAAUUCAUGUGGGAGAUGAGCUGGAAUUUCGGUUCAAAGAUACUCAAGAUCUCCAUUUGUGAUUUCAAACUUUUACAUUUUUUUUUUGGGGAGAUAAUAAUAGUUUUCAGUGUAUUGUAUCGAAGCCAUAUGAAGUUAAUUAGCUAGCGAUGUCUUUAAUUCCAACAGAAUGGAUAAUGAAAUAAAUUGCUAUUGAUAUUUUGAUUUUUUGGUUCCUUUUAUUUUCUGCUAUUAAUGAGAUAAUAUAUUUUUAUUUUAUGCUUCUUAUGGGAUCAUAAAUCUACAUAUAACGUGACAUUGGUGGAAGAUUACAAAUUCUUAAAAAGAAAAAUGUUAUGUUGCUCAAUUUUCUUUCUUGAUAGCAGACAAAAUUCAAGAACAAAGACAGAACAAUAUUAUAAAAUGAGAGCAAAAUAUAGCUUUUUUGUGUACAGAAUAUUUCUAUCCCUAUAACGGAUGAUAAUCUUUUUAUUUAUAGCUCUAUUCAGUGAGACAAGAUCCCCAAAUUAAGUUUUUCUUGAAUGAGAAUAAAACUGUCAUUAAUGGAUGCAUAAUGAUUGGUUAUAAAUGCAGAUAUUCUUUGCAACUGCUGCUCAUUGAAUAAUAUUCGAUGACAAUGCUUUGAAUCUUCGUUACUGGCUACUCUAUCUUCGGAAUUCGUUCAACAUCGAUUGCAUGCUUACAUCCGGUGAUGAUUGUUUGCUGACUCAUGUGCCACCUGUAUUUAGUUCUACGUGUCACUUUGUCAUUCAUCCAACUGUCAUUAACCUAUUUUACCCCAUACAGAUACUCCCCUUACUUUUCGGUAACACAACUUAGUGUUACCGGAAAGUAGAUAAGAAUUCUUUUCUUGGCGAAAAAAUUCCUGAACGGUCUCUGACACUUGAAAGGGCACAUGUCUUCUCGCAUUUAAUGACCCAAACAUGUGUUGCUCCAUGAUUCAGCAAAUAUUUUCACUGGUUUUCGAGGUACUCAUGACUAAGAUUUUUGUUAUCUAUAACUUCUCCCCUACUCAUCAUUUUUACUCUUUACUUUCACAACUCCCUCUUCUUCCUUGAUUCUCCUUAGAACCAUUCUGUGACAUUCAACUUUCUUAGUAAAACUUUUCUUCAAACAUAUCUUCAAGCAUUACCAUCCUCGGAAACUCUGGCCUUUUCUUCAAAAGACCCCCAAAGAAAACAAAAACAAAGGAAGUUGAAGCUGAAUCUGAACCUCCCACCCUGAACUCCAUCAUACCUCUUAAACUUAAUACGAAAUCAGACCUUCAAUAACAGAAAGCACCUUCAAAUUCUAAAAGUGAUAGGUUCUGGCCUAUUCGGAGGAACCCUUCUUCCAUUCGUCCUCCUAGUGUCCUUGUCAUGAAGGAGGAAUGCCAUUGGAACAAGGUUGAAAUCCUCACCCCCAAAAAAGGUAGAAAGAGUUACCUUCUCCAAGCCAGGUUUCAUAUAUUUUUACACAUACCCUUUCACUUUGGGCCAUUUAACUUUGAGAAUGGGUGAAGGAACUGACCCAAUAAUCUUAGAGUUAUCCCAUCGAUACCAAGUAUGUUUGGCAUAAGUAGGCCUAUCUGUGUGGCGUACGGUGGUUUGCCACCACCAAUGGUGUUAUGAGACCGAGGAAACCCUAACUCUCGUACAUAUAAUGAACCUCUACUCCAAAAAGAUUUUUCGUGAGGGUAUGCUAAAUCUUAGAAAAUGCGGUGAUCAUGCUCUUCUUACUAGCAUUGACAACGACACUAACCGUGGAUGGAUGGAACAGUUUGUUAUUAUCGCUACCAGGGAUAUCAUCCUAACCACAAUACCAGCUUUUCCCAAAUCAUGAAAUCUUUUUCGUAAGUUUUUCGGGUAUUUGCUUCCUUUCCUUGUAAAAAGAAAUCUUCUUUCUUUGCUAACUUUUUAUUUUCUUUAUUCCAGCCACUCACUAGGAGCUCCAGCGGUUCAAGAUUUGGACCGAUGGGUACAAAAAAUUCUGAAUAUCACUAUACCAGAAUUCUAAAGGUGAAAGGGAAUGACUCCCAAAUACGGGUGGAAAUCCAAAAAUCAUGAUAAAUAAAACUCUUCUUCCUUUAUUUCAACCGUUUAAUACAUUCUGCAAACAAUUUAACUACCUUAUAUUGCCAAACAGGACUUCCGAACGGAUCCAUUGUGUGCCCCGACAUCGAAGCUCUUGAUGACCCAAUGGAAGCUCAACGAGUAUUUUAGAGUGCCCUUAACCAGAGGAGGGCUCGUGAAUGUACUCGUGCCUCUACUAAAGGUGCCUCCUCCCGAAGUCUCUAGUCAAAAAAUAAGCAACCAAAAAGGAAACGUAUCUCCACGGUUGGGACUCAGGAGAAGAGAAUAAUAAAACACCAACCGGACCAACCACAAUGGUCCUUGAUGAUGAAGAAGAGGUUGAUGGUGAAGAGGCCCCCUUUCAAAAAAGAAAAAGAUCUUCAUCAAUUCAACCGGAUGCUUAGCCGGGGGAGUUUCAAACUCUACCUCCAAAGGAAGUUCAAGAACUCUGGGAGGGGGAGGGGGUGAAAUAGCAAUAUCCGAAAAUGCUACAUCUCAUUUUUGGAUUCCCACAAUUGCUUCUGCUUAAAGGAUUUGAAUUCCUGACCUUCCUCCAUUGUCAACUUUUGAGCCGAUAAUAGCUUCUUCUCCAUCCACACCAACUACUUCUUCUCCACUGACCCCAGCUGAACAAGUAGGGAAUGCCCCUUCUCCACAGUCUCCCAACCAAGAAAAUUUGAGAAAUACUUAUUUGGUACCCACUCAAGACCCUCAUGGAAAACAAAGUGCCAUUCUUUCGAUUUCGAAGGAGUGCCAUAUACUUUCCAAGACGGUGGAUCUCGCCAAUUACCUGAAGUCGUUGGGCUCAGAGAAAGAUUGGAGAAAGUAGGACACUCUUUUUGUGAAGUGUCUGAUAAACAAUAACAUGCAUUGUUCGGUGCAGGUAGCAAUCUAACUUCCUCCUAUCUUCUUUUAAUUUGCACUUCGCAUUAAUUACUUUAGGUCUAACCUUUUUCAUGUCAACCUUAUUGCUUCCAAGGGCCUGCAAAGGUUGAUUUUGGACAAGCAAGAGAUUUCUUCAGAACGAGAUCAACUUUUGGUUGAAGGAAUUAGCUUACCGGGCGCCUCUCAGUGCUGGAGGCAAAAAUUGCUCAAAUAGAUGACCUCAAGGCCCGAUUCCAGCAGUCCAAACAAGAUAGAGUGGCUCACAGCUUGGAAUCCGCCCAGCUACAUGAAAACCUUACAGACCCAAAGCCUAAAUGUGUUGAACUUCAUGAUAUUGUGACUGUUGCUGCCGAGCGCGAGUCUGUCUUUAUGGAACAAGUUAAUAACUUAGAGGCUAUCUUACGCUCCAAAAUUGAGGAGGCCAAUGCUGCCAAGGAGAAUAGGGCGAGAAUGGAGGAAAGAUUCAAAAGGACCAUGGAGCAGAAUCAACUCCAUUCAUUAACCUAUGUCGAGCUGGACUCCAAAAUCAACAUUAUUAAAGCUGAAAAUGAAAAUCUCUAAUCCAAGAUUGAAAAAUUCCGAGCUAAACUCUAAGACCAAGAGGAUCCACUCGUCUUCGAGAAAACCUACACCAUUUAUUAUACGAAGAGGAAGACCUUGGAGGAUGCUAAAGAUGGAAUUUCUAACAUUGAUGAAUAUAGUGCUAAAGCACAGGAGCUGGAUACAACUACUCACAAGAAUCUCCCUACUCGGCCCAUUACAUCUGAUUCUUUGAAUACUAACUCCGAGUAAUCGGGAACCGAGGGAGAGACUGAAAAAGAUGAAGGCCUCUAAUCGGAAGUGGAACAACCUUCUCCUAAUAAAGAAAACGAAGGCUUUUCUCUCCCUUUGGGUUCUGGCAGCAAGAACUGAUGUAGUUUUCAUUACUUCUUGUAAUUGUGACAAAACUUUCCACUAGUUUGGCAAUUUAUUUAAUAAAAGAAACCAUUUACUUAAGUAUUGUGCAAGAAAAUAUUCUUUUACAUUAACUGACAAAGUUUCAGGAAUCUUUUCACAUCCGAUAGCUUUUGAUUCCAGGCAUAAACACUUCCAGAAUCUACCUUUUACUAUGAGGGUUUCAUAAGAGAGGGCCCUCGUAUUUACGAUGACAAUGUCUCAUGUUCAUUCCGGCACAACCAUUUAAAGUUUUUGUUAACACUCAAAUGAUAAAAUAAAUUAACUUAUCAUUCAGGAAAGAAUAAUAUAAAAAUAAAAGGACUUUGAUUUAUUCCCUCUAUCUUUAAAAGUAUAUUUACAUAAACAUUCAUUUGCUUAAGUAAAUAAAGGUUCCAAUACAUGUGGCUAACUUGUACAACUUAUUUCUGUGAGGCUGAUCAUGUAGUCACCGGCCCUGAUAAGAUAUUGAUCCUGGUUCUACUGGUCCCUGUCUUUAUAACACUUUUACUGCUUUGAUAUGUAUUAUUCCCACCAAUGUUCAGAUUCUAAGUGUGAGAAUUAGAACACUGAGGUCUUGCAUUCGUCGAUGACAUAUCGUAGUAUCUUUACAUUAUUGCCUUAUUAAUAGAAAUAACUUGGGGAUGGUUAAAUAAUCUACUUCCAGAUGUUAACAAGCCAAAGAUUACUUAACCAUCCACAAGUUGUUUGCCUCACGAGUUGAUCUACAUAAAACUAUUUCUGGAAGUCCCUCAUUUGUCGACGACCCUUCCUUCAUAGUAUGCUUUAUAUUGUUGCCUCAUUAAAAACCUUGCUAGAAAAAUAUAAUUGGGAUAAAAACUGGUCGAAGAGAAAAGGAGUGUAGAGCAUACUUUUAGUACCAGCAAGGAUCUUUAGCAAUAUUACCUUUUGAGGUGGGUCAUAUUCCAAUUGCUUGGCAAUUUGACUCCAUCUUGAUCUUCCAAUUCAUACGAACAUUUACCAGUUAUAGCUGAAAUCUGAUAAGUUCUUUCCCAUGUUGGUCCCAGCUUCCCAACAUUAACGUUUCAAGUACUUUGAGUGACUUUUCUUAGGACCAAAUCCCCAACUUUGAAAUAUCAUAGAUUCUCUCUGCGGUUAAAAUACAUUUGCAUCAUUUGCUUUUGUGCCAUUAUCCUUACAUACGCCAGAUCCCCAUGCUCUUCAAGCAAAUCUAAUUUAUCCAGCAAUGAUUCAUUGUUUGCUUUUUCUUUUGCUCGGAAAAACCCUAUGUUCAGUUCCCCCACUUCCAUCGGUAUCAAAGACUUUUAAUUGUAUACAAGUGAAAAGGGUGUUUUAUACGUGCUCGACUUUGUCGUGGUCUGGUAUGCCCAUAACAUACCCGGUAGCUCAUCUGGAAACUUGACUUUAGCAUCUUCUAACUUCUUUUAAGGUUUGAAUAAUUACCUUGUUAGUCGACUCCACCUGUCCAUUAGCACUCGAGUGGUAUGGUAAAGAUGUAACUCGUUUGAUCUUCAAUCCUUCCAAAAACUUUGUCAGUUUGGAAACUAUGAAUUGUGGUCCAUUGUCACAAGUUAUUUCUAUUGGUUUUCCGAAUUGGUAAAUUAUGGUCCUAUAUAAAAUUGACCAUCUCUCAUUAUUCGAUCUUUUGGUAAGCACAUGCUUCAACUUAUUUAGUAAAAUAAUAAUUUAAAACCAAAAGAAAUUUUACCUUACCAGGUUCUAGUGGCAAGGGACCCACUAUGUCCAUCCCCCAUUUCAUAAAUGGCCACGGUGACACCACCGAAUGCAAAAGUUCUACAUAUCAAUGCACUAACUGUGCAUGACGCUGACAUUUAUCACACUUUUGUAGAAUUAUCUUUGCAUCUUGCUACAUCCGGGGUCAAUAGUAGCCAGCUCUGACUAACUUGAGAAUUAAUUAGUCUACACCAGAAUGGUUCCGGAAUACUCCUUCAUGAACUUCCAUCAUCACAUAGUCAGCCUCCGAGGCCCCUAGACACAAAUCUAGUGCCCCUUGGAACGAUCUCAUGUAUAACUGUCAAUCAAAAAGAUAGUAACGAGUCACCUUGGUCCGUAGUGCCAAGGAUUCUUUUGGGUCUUCUAGAAAUUUGCCAUGUCUUAGAUAUUCAAUGAACUCGUUCCUCCGGUCCCAUAUUAAGUUGGUUGAAUUAAUUUCACAGUAGCUGUCCACGCCCAACACCGAAUAUAGUAAUUGAACGAAUAUACCAGAAUCAGAUCCUUCCAUCUCUGUGGAUGAACCCAAAUUGGCCAAUGCGUCUGCCUUCAAAUUUUCCUCCCUUGGAAUGUGGACGAUUGACCACUCUGUGAAUCGUGUAAGUAAUGGUUGAACCUUGUUCAAGUUCUGUUGCAUGCGCUACUCCUUGGUGUCGAAAAUUCUAUACACUUGGUUUACCACCAACUGGAAUCGCAUUUUAUCUCGAUGACCUUGGAACCUAGUCCCCGAGCUAGUUCAAGUUCUGCAACCAAAGCCUCGUACUCGGCUUUAUUGUUAGUUAAUGGUAAAAUUCUAUUGGCCUUCCUUAGGGUUUCCCCCAAAUGAGUGAUUAAAAUUACACCAAAACCGGACCCUUUUACGUUGGAGGCUCCAUUUGUAAACAAGAUCAGACUCUCUAUACCAUUCCCGAUACCAACAAUGCUUCUUUAGCAGUAAAGGCAUUAAUUCCGAACUGAAAUCAGUCACGAAGUCGGCCUAAACUUGUUACUUAAUUGCAGUCUUGGGCUUGUAUUCAAUAUAGAAUUCACUAACUUCGACCACCUACUUAGCCAAAUGACCUGACAACUCAGGCUUAUGAAGGACAUUCCUUAACGAAAAGGUUGUCACAAUGGCUAUUAGAUGACAUUAAAAAUAUGGUCUAAGCUUCUAAGAGGCAACUACGAGAGCUAAGGCCAGCUUUUCAAGGUGCGGAUAACGUGUAUCCGCUCCUGAUAAUAUUUUACUAAUAUAAUAAAUGGGAAAUUGCAUACCAUCUUCUUCCCGGACCAAAACGGCACUUACCACUACUUUUGAGACCGCUAGAUAAAUCAAUAGUUGCUCACCUUCUCCUAAUUUCUACAACAACGGAGGGCUAGAUAGGUACCUUUUUAGGUCUUUAAGUGCAUAUUGGUAUUCCGGAGUCCAUACGAUGUCAUUCUUUUUUUUCAAAAGCAAAAAAAAAAUGAUGGAACUUUUACGAAGACCUCGAGAUGAACCUUCUUAGAGAUACCAAUCUACCGGUCAACAUCUUUAUUCCUUCACGCCUGUCAGCUGGUCUGGGAUAUUCUCGAUGGAUUUGAUUUUAUUGGGGUUUACCUUAAUUCCUCUUUGAGAGACCAAAAACCCCAGGAACUUAUCGGAACCCACUCCGAAGGCAUAUUUCUUCAGGUUGAGAUUCAUGUUGUACUUUUUCAGAAUGUCAAACGUCCCUUAGAGAUGUUCCAGUUGAUCUCCUGCAUAAAGAGACUUAACUAGCAUGUCGUCGAUAUAAGCUUCCAUCGUCUUACCUAUCUAUUUUUUAAAUAUCUUAUUAGCGAGCCUCUAAUAAGUGGCUCCCGUAUUUUUAAUCCCACAAGGCAUCACAUUAUAGCAAUAUGUGGUAAAGUUUGUGAUGAAAGAAUUCUUCUUUUAAUUUUCUGGGUCCAUCGUAAUUUGAUAAUACCCGAAAUAAGCAUCAAGAAAACUCAUCAACUCGUGCCUGGCUGCAGCAUUGAUCAUUUGAUCAAUGUUCGGCAAUAGGAAAAAGUCUUUGGGGCACACUUUAUUUAAAUUCUUAUCAUCUACACACAUCCUAAAUUUUCUAUUCUUUUUAGGCACUACUACGUUAGCUAUCCACUUCGAGUACUUUACCUCUCGAAUUGAACUGAUGUUAAGUAAUCGGGUUACCUCUUCCUUAACAAACCUGUUUUUGACCUUUGCUAUCAAUUGUUUCUUCUGCCUUACCGGGGGGAAGUUUGGAUCCAGACUAAGUUUGGAGACCUCCAAAUCCAAUGGAAAAUUUGUCAUAUCUGAAUGCAACCAUGAAAAGCAAUCAACGUUAGAUUUAAAAAAAUCUAUAAGUUUCAACCUGAGUUCGGGACUCAACCCCGUUCCUAAAUGAAAUUUUCUUUCCAGAAAUUCUUCAAACAAAGCCACUUGUUUGAGCUCUUCUGCGGUUAACUUGGUUGCAUCCAUCUUUUCUGGUACCUGAAAAGACCUUGGUGCCUGAUAUAAUUCUGAUGACUUCUCGUUUUUAUCAUCUACAAUUGGGAUGGGAGAAGGCAUUGGUUCCUGUAGUUGCUAUUUGCUGGUUUCUUUGCCCUUGCUGCUGGAAAUGGUUACUGUGUUCAUCUCCCUUACAGCAGAUUGAUCUCCUCUGAUCUGCUUGAUCCCUUCUAGUGUUGGAAACUUUAACAGUUAAUGGUAUGUGAAGGUACGACCUUCAUUUUGAUGUAUCCACGGUCUUCCAAAGAUUAUAUUAUAGACCAUGUCGCCAUUUACCACUUCAAACAGGGUGGUCUUUGCUACACCUUCAGCAUGUGUGGGCAGAAAAAUUUCUCCUCGGGUUGUUAUACUUGUUAUGUUGAAGCCAGCUAAAAGCUUUGUUGAUGGAAUGAUAUUCCCAGUUAACUUUGCUUCUCUCCAUUGUAUGAUAUUGGUUGAACUUCCUGGAUCAACCAAAAUACGCUUAAUACUAAAAUCUAAAAUAUUAAAAGAAAUUACCAAAGCAUCAUUUUGCGGUAGGAUAAGUCCAUCGGCAUCUUCCAUCGUGAAGGUGAUGUCAUCUUUUGAGACUUCUCGGAUCCUCUUGCCAUGAGUCACUGAUAUAUUCGUCUUAUUUGCUGGCAAAAAUGUCACCCCAUUUACUUUGUCUCCUCUGAAGAUCAUGUUGAUUGUCAUUCGAGGUGACCCUUCUGCUGGUUUUAAUGGUUAUGUAAUAUCCCUAUUUCUCUUAGAGUUGUUUUUGGUGCGAUCGCUUAACAAUUCCCCGAGGUGACCAUUCUUUAACAAUAUUUCCACCUCUUCAUGAAGAUGUCGGCAGUCCCCAGUCCUAUUAUCGUGAGUCCCAUAGAAUUCACACCAUAGAUUAGGAUCCCUUUGGCUAGGAUCCGAUCAGAUCGAUUUUGGGAACCUAAAUUCUUUAAUAUUUCUCAUGGGCGACACUAGUUCCACUAGGGUGAUACUAAAAUUGUAAUUAAACAACCGGGGAUACGCUGAAUCUUAGGAUCAUGGCACCUUUUUCUCCUACAACAAUCUGUUACUCCGGCCAUGAUCCAUCCUUCUAUCGCAAAUAAACCUAUUCGAUGACUGGAAUCCUUUAUUAUCGUGCCCUUCGGCCUUCUCAUAAGGCUGAAAAUGACUUCUAGAGUGUAUUCGAUCUAUAUCAAAAUCAUUUUUAAACUUAUCUUGAUUUCAAUCACGAUUCCGUCCUUUGGAAGACACCGUGGAACCAAGUCGACCAUCUUCACUUCUGAUCUUUGACUCAUAGAGAUAUUAAACAUCUGCCCAUAUGGUUGCCUGAAUUUCGAGCAAGCUCUCCUGCAAUUUUUGUGAGUUAUCGGAGCUUAAUAGGUUGAGACCCUUUGUAAAUGCCUCCGUUGCCCACUCAUCUUGAACCGCAGAUAACAACAUCAUUUCUUUCCGGAACCAGAUCACAAACUCUCUUAACAAUUUAGCUUUUCUUUAAGAUAUCAUGAAUAUAUCCACCUUCCUUGCUUGGACCUUUCUUGCUCCAGCAUUAUCUUUGAUAAACGAAUCUACAAGCAUUUCAAAAGGGUCAAUAGAAUGUUUUGAUAAGAGGGAAUACCAGGCUAAGUCACCAUUCGUAAGGGUUUCACCAAACUUCUUCAACAAAACCGAUUCGAUGUAAUGCUGGGCCAAGUUGUUUUCCUUUACUGUCGUAGUGUAGGUCAUAUCAUGAUGUGCUCCUGUGGAUCCGAAGUCACAUCAUAUUUUGGUAUAUCCAACAUCUUAAACCUCUUUGGGAUUAACUUCGAUGCAGCACAUAGUUUAAACAGCAACUACAUAUACUUCUUUAAAUCUGAUCCUUUUAACAUCGGCGGCACCCCCGUGAUAUGAUCCAUCAGAGCGAAAUUCCUUUGCAUUCUAAUCCAUUCAUUCAUUCAUUUCUCUCAUUAAUCUUAUGAGCUCGGUUUUGAAAGGGUUAUUUAAAUUGUUGUUCGCAAAUUCACUACCGGUACCUCUGGCCUCGUCGAAAUUGACCUCCUCUCUUGGUGUGUCGUUAUCAGUUCCUUGAGUCGUUUGCUUUACGAGAAUGCUGGGAGGAAUCGGGGCCCUUCCAUUAGCAUUAUUAGAAGCUCCCCAUACUACAUGUUUCAAUUUUGUCAUCACCCAAUCUUGCCUUGAGAGGCGAUCCAUAAUUGCCUUUUUCUAUUCCCUCAAGAUUUUGACUAUUUCAACAACGUGCUCAUCCUUUGCAUCAUCAAGAGUUGGGCCCCGCACAUGUCGAGGAUACAGACCUUCGCGAACUAGGUUGUUUCAUCCCCUUCGUUGUGGGGCUCACUGAUUGAAUCAUCACGCGUGAACACAUCUUCUUGUUGACCGUGUACUCCAACAUUUUAAACAAUAUUGACAUCAUUAGCUGUCAUACCUUAUCUUUCUUUUUCUAAGGAAGGAAUCAAAAUUUGUCAGUAAUAGAUAAAUAGAUCAAAGCAAUUACACAAUUGUCAAUGCCCCACAGUGGACGCCAAACUGUUUACCCAUAAAAUGAUAUAGUUAGAUUUGUAACGUAGUUUAUAGACAAAUAAAUCGAUUUGGUCCUAAAGUACGAAAACAAUAAUAACCGAAACAAGAAUACGAAAUAAAACUAAUGGAAACACAAGCCCGAGUAUGAAUUUAGCCUUUCCAAUGGCAAAAAGAGAACAUUAUUCAAGAACAAAGACUGAGAACAAUAUUAUAAAAUGGGAGCAGAAUAUAGCUUUUUUGUGUACAAAAUAUUUCCACCCCUACAAUGGAUGCUAAUCCUCCUACUUACAGCUCUGUUCUGGGAGACAAGAUCCUCAAAUCAAGUUCCUCUUGAAUGAGAAUAAAACCGUCAUUGAUGGCUGCAUAAUUGUUGGCUAUAAAUGCAUAUAUUCUUUGUAACAGUUGCUCGUUGAAUGUUAUCUAAUGAAAAUGCUUUGAAUCUUCAUUAUUAAUUGGCUACUCCGUCUUCGAGAUUCAUUCAGUAUCGAUUGCAUGAUUACAUCUGGUGCCAGCUGUUUGCUGACUCACGUCCCAUCUAUCUUUUGUUCCAUGCGUCACUUCGUCAUUCGCCCAACUAUCAUUAACCGAUUUUGCCCCAUACAGGUGUAGCUUUGAUUAUCGACACACAAGUUGAGGCUGACUCCAGUAUAUUGAGGCCAAAGGCACAGACAUAUAUAGGACUAGGACUAAACCGUGUAUUUCCGAGAAAAACUUAUAUACAUACGAUACCUAAUUCAAAACAUAGGAAAAUGGUAAUUUGUUUAGUCUUUUUCCCGUUCUUUUCCCUUUUUGAAUGAUUUUAGAAGUUUAAUUGUAUUCUAAAGACUAAACAUCAAUCCUCCCACGAUACUUGAGUUUUGAAGGUUACGUGGGUGGCAUACAUAAGUUCGUUGCUCAUUCUUCAAUUGUCAUUAUCUUUUUUUGUUGUUUCUAUCGUCACUUCCUUUUCUUUGUUGCAUUAUAGUGUUUGAUCUAAUUCUUAAUGUUAGCUAGAAAAAAUGGACAGCAAUGAGGUGUUAUAUAUAUNNNNNNNNNNNNNNNNNNNNNNNNUAUAUUAGUUAGUUAAAGCGGUUAAUGAAAAAAAAAGUUUGAUAUCACUAAACAACUCAAUAAAUGAAUAUGCAUGCGAGUCAUCUAUCAUAUCCGUAUAACAAUUAAGCAUUGGUUGAUUUUCGCCACUUGGAAUUAAAAAUUUACGUAACAAACUUCCUUCAUGCAAAGAGGUGUGAACAUUGGAUUAGAACUCGUACACACUGGACAAACAAAUUAGUCCCCACAUCAACUAACUCAAGUUCCAAACUCAUAGGCUAGCUAGUUAUAACCAACACUUAUAAAUACCACUCAAUAUUAACAAGAGAAAACAUCCCAACAGCACCCAAGUAUCUUGUACUACUACUUUUUCAAAACUCAUCUGCCAUCACUUUUAUUACCAAAAUGGCUGAAGAGAAGAAGCACCACUUCGGUCUCUUCCACCACAAGGACAAGGAGGAAGACAAAACUACCUAUGGAGAAACUCCAUAUGGUGGUGAUACUGAAAAAACUACCUAUGGAGAGAAUACAUAUGAAGAGAAAACUAGUUAUGGUGGGGGAGAUAACUAUGGGGAUAACAAAUAUGGUGAGAAAACUGGCUAUGGAGAAAGUGGAUAUGGAGAGAAAACUAGUUAUGGUGAGGGAGGUAACUAUGGAGAUAGUGGCUAUGAAAAUAAGACUAGCUAUGGAGAUAGUGGCUAUGAAAAUAAGACUAGUUAUGGAGAUAGCGGCUAUGAAAACAAGACUGGCUAUGGAGAUAUUCCAUCUGAUACUACCUAUGGAGAGAAAACUAAUUAUGGUGAAGGAGAUACCUAUGGAAAAGGAGCUGCCUACUCAUCUGAGACCACUAAUUUUGAAGAGACUACUGAUGAAGGCAAAACUGGUGAGGAUUAUGAGAAAGAGAAAAAGCAC